rnacentral:rRNA from 1 species
ACGGGUGAGUAACGCGUGGGAACGUACCUUUUGGUUCGGAACAACACAGGGAAACUUGUGCUAAUACCGGAUAAGCCCUUACGGGGAAAGAUUUAUCGCCGAAAGAUCGGCCCGCGUCUGAUUAGCUAGUUGGUGGGGUAAAGGCCCACCAAGGCGACGAUCAGUAGCUGGUCUGAGAGGAUGAUCAGCCACAUUGGGACUGAGACACGGCCCAAACUCCUACGGGAGGCAGCAGUGGGGAAUAUUGGACAAUGGGCGCAAGCCUGAUCCAGCCAUGCCGCGUGAGUGAUGAAGGCCCUAGGGUUGUAAAGCUCUUUUGUGCGGGAAGAUAAUGACGGUACCGCAAGAAUAAGCCCCGGCUAACUUCGUGCCAGCAGCCGCGGUAAUACGAAGGGGGCUAGCGUUGCUCGGAAUCACUGGGCGUAAAGGGUGCGUAGGCGGGUCUUUAAGUCAGGGGUGAAAUCCUGGAGCUCAACUCCAGAACUGCCUUUGAUACUGAAGAUCUUGAGUUCGGGAGAGGUGAGUGGAACUGCGAGU